rnacentral:tRNA from 1 species
UCUCUGGUGGUCCAGAGGCUAAGACUCUGCACUCCCAAUGCAGGGCACCCGGGUUCAAUCCCUGGUCAGGGAA